GAGGAGGCUAAAGAAAAUAUCAAUACUAAAGGAAUUUCUGGAUUUUAAUUCACUGUUUUAAAGAAUAUUGUUUUGGUUUUGUGAUGAAGAAGCAUUGAUGAAUUUGUUCUAAAACAUUUGAAAGAUGUUGAACUAAAAUUCUCAGUUCCUGGCAAGCCCCUGAAGUUAUACAUUUGACUUUCACUUUAAGCCCAGUGAAUAUUUUAAAAACAACGCACUAACAAAGACAUAUAAAGUCUUGACUGGAAUUUAUAGCAAAUGCUUACCUUUCUCAGGGAGUUGAAAUUCAAAGCUGCAUAGGAUGUCAAGUAGAUUGGAACAAAGGAAAAAAACUAUCACAGUGAAAACCAUUCAGGAGAAAAGCGGUGUAAAUGGGAAAAAACAAAAUUACUUAAGUAGUUGCAGUGACUCGUUCUUUAAUUUGUUAGUCCUCCUGUAGUU
rnacentral:lncRNA from 1 species